rnacentral:SRP_RNA from 1 species
AGCCAGGCGCAACACAAUGGCUGCUUGUGAACCAUGUCAGGUCAGGAAUGAAGCAGCAUUAAGCAAUGCCAGUCAUGUGUCGUUGUUAGCCUGGCCUUU